rnacentral:rRNA from 1 species
UGCAAGUCGAACGGAAAGGCCCAGCUUGCUGGGUACUCGAGUGGCGAACGGGUGAGUAACACGUGGGUGAUCUGCCCCUGACUUUGGGAUAAGCCUGGGAAACUGGGUCUAAUACCGGAUAUUCAUUUUUCCUCGCAUGGGGAUUUGUGGAAAGCUUUUGCGGUUGGGGAUGGGCCCGCGGCCUAUCAGCUUGUUGGUGGGGUAAUGGCCUACCAAGGCGACGACGGGUAGCCGACCUGAGAGGGUGAUCGGCCACACUGGGACUGAGACACGGCCCAGACUCCUACGGGAGGCAGCAGUGGGGAAUAUUGCACAAUGGGCGCAAGCCUGAUGCAGCGACGCCGCGUGAGGGAUGACGGCCUUCGGGUUGUAAACCUCUUUCAGCUCCGACGAAGCGCAAGUGACGGUAGGAGCAGAAGAAGCACCGGCCAACUACGUGCCAGCAGCCGCGGUAAUACGUAGGGUGCAAGCGUUGUCCGGAAUUACUGGGCGUAAAGAGCUCGUAGGCGGUUUGUCGCGUCGUCUGUGAAAUUCUGCAGCUUAACUGCAGGCGUGCAGGCGAUACGGGCAGACUUGAGUACUACAGGGGAGACUGGAAUUCCUGGUGUAGCGGUGAAAUGCGCAGAUAUCAGGAGGAACACCGGUGGCGAAGGCGGGUCUCUGGGUAGUAACUGACGCUGAGGAGCGAAAGCGUGGGUAGCGAACAGGAUUAGAUACCCUGGUAGUCCACGCCGUA